CCUCCUCCUGCUCUCCUCCUCCUCCUCCUCCUCCUCCUCCUCCUCCUCCUCCUCCUCCUCCUCCUCCUCCUCCUCCUCCUCCUCCUCCACUGAGAAAAAUGAAAUGCUUUAUUUUGUUAACUCUAUUUUUCUAGUGUAAAUAAAACGAUGAUUGUAUGAAGUGACCUUAACCUGCAGAGCAGCCGUUUGAAUACAGACUCUGAUCUAAAGACUCUUCCACCAAGAAGCCUUCAGCAGGAAACGAACCAAAGACAACCUGACCUCCACAGGUGAGAGGGUCGACCUCCACAGGUGAGAGGGUCGACCUCCACAGGUGAGAGGGUCGACCUCCACAGGUGAGAGGGUCCUCCUCCACAGGUGAGAGGGUCCUCCUCCACAGGUGAGAGGGUCCUCCUCCACAGGUGAGAGGGUCCUCCUCCACAGGUGAGAGGGUCGACCUCCACAGGUGAGAGGGUCGACCUCCACAGGUGAGAGGGUCGUCCUCCACAGGUGAGAGGGUCCUCCUCCACAGGUGAGAGGGUCGACCUCCACAGGUGAGAGGGUCCUCCUCCACAGGUGAGAGGGUCCUCCUCCACAGGUGAGAGGGUCGACCUCCACAGGUGAGAGGGUCGACCUCCACAGGUGAGAGGGUCGACCUCCACAGGUGAGAGGGUCCUCCUCCACAGGUGAGAGGGUCGACCUCCACAGGUGAGAGGGUCGUCCUCCACAGGUGAGAGGGUCGACCUCCACAGGUGAGAGGGUCGACCUCCACAGGUGAGAGGGUCGACCUCCACAGGUGAGAGGGUCGACCUCCACAGGUGAGAGGGUCCUCCUCCACAGGUGAGAGGGUCGACCUCCACAGGUGAGAGGGUCCUCCUCCACAGGUGAGAGGGUCCGCCUCCACAGGUGAGAGGGUCCUCCUCCACAGGUGAGAGGGUCCUCCUCCACAGGUGAGAGGGUCGACCUCCACAGGUGAGAGGGUCGACCUCCACAGGUGAGAGGGUCCUCCUCCACAGGUGAGAGGGUCCUCCUCCACAGGUGAGAGGGUCGACCUCCACAGGUGAGAGGGUCCUCCUCCACAGGUGAGAGGGUCCUCCUCCACAGGUGAGAGGGUCGACCUCCACAGGUGAGAGGGUCGACCUCCACAGGUGAGAGGGUCGACCUCCACAGGUGAGAGGGUCCUCCUCCACAGGUGAGAGGGUCGACCUCCACAGGUGAGAGGGUCGUCCUCCACAGGUGAGAGGGUCGACCUCCACAGGUGAGAGGGUCCUCCUCCACAGGUGAGGGUUAACGUCACAGCGCCUUUAACCCACUGUGAAAUACACAGGCCGUCAUCUUAUUGGUUUACACAGAGCUGCAGGAUGUGUUGGUCCCUGAAGGCAGCAUCUCCUGGUCCAAUGGGAUUCCUCCAUGUGAUUUUGAAUUAUGUCAUAAAAUAAUCUGUGUCAAACAAACGAUUAUCAGCUCAACAUCAACGAUUCAUUUAUUUAUAAUCUGAUCAUUAUUUCUUACAUUUAAUUCAUCGUUUUACAAAAACGUCCGACGUCACGCCUUUAAAACCAAAGAGAUAUUUAUAUUUACUCUAAAAGGGAAUCAUCUAGAAUUAAAACUCAAGCUGUAGUUUGUAAAGACGGUUCGGGUUAAAAAGAACAAUAUUUCCUAGUGAUUGGUUAAUUGACGAAUCACUGCGUUCUCUAAUUGAUCUAAUUGGAAAUCACAAACUAUUCUGGUAUCUCUGGAAUAAAGUAGGACUGCGUGUUUGGGAUAUAGGACGUAUCACGGAGCCGGGAUUAUAUCUGGAGAAACGCUAUUUUUAAAAAGGUUAAAUCUAACGGAUAAAUUCACAAAUGUACGACAACGAAAAUAAUAUUCUCUGGUUAUAAAGUGGAGGCGUGCUGCGAUGUCGUUUUGGACAAAAAGAUCCACAAUUUCGGCCUUUUUUUCUUCUGCAUUUAAGACGUAAAUCUUAAUUGUUUUUUUACUUUUAAAUCUCAGAGAAUAUUCAAGCUUUUCUCCAAAUAGUUCCCGCGUCCUCUGGCUCUGUCCUCUUCUAUCUAACAAUGGUCAUGGUUUGCUGCUAUAAAAAACGUUUGUAUAAUUUACAAUUUGACUAAAACGUGUAUAAAUUCCACUUUCCUCCUGAAAUGUGAGGAAGUGAUGGAUUCUAAUCCCAUCACAAAAGGACUUGAUACACAUUUAGACACACGGGAGAUGUUUCCCUCACACCAACACAUAGAGGUUUCCCACUGCUUCCUGUCUCUAUGCUAAGCUAAGCUAGCAUUUACUUCCUCACAUUUGUAUUCUGAGGGUUUUAGGGAUUUUAUAUUGUGUAGUUGUCCGGUGUCUUUAGACUUACCUUUGUGCCUAAAUGAAGGGAAAUAAAGGAUUCAGGAAUAAGGGAUUCUUUCCAGUGUAGAGGAGCGUCCUCAUGUUGGGAAAUAACUGAGCUUUACGCUUUUAUUUCCCCACAAUCUCCUCCUCAGUUUCCUGGAAAGAAGUAACCAUAAAGAAAAGUGAGAUAAGGAAGGGAAAGAGCUACAGAACAUGUAACAGACCGCCAUCUUCUCAUCUGAAUCUGAAAAUGUUGGACUGUUCCUGUGAAUGUUCUUUCAUGGAAACAACAGAUUUCCCAGUCUGUCGUUUAUCCAGUUCAGAUUUAACCCCACUCACUUCCACACGACGACAGCAUCGACACCGCAGCCUUUACGUAGGACAUUUGAAGAAGAUGAACAUAUCUCUUUUUAAAUCUGAUCAGUGUUGCAGAGCUCAGUUAGUCAUAUUUUAAAAAUAAUGUAGGUAGGUAGGUAGAUGGAUAGGUAGAUAGAAAUAUGGAUAGGUAGAUAGAAAGAUAGAUAGAUAGAUAGAUAGAUAGAUAGAUAGAUUGGUAGAUGGAAAGAUAGAUAGAAAGAUGGGUAGGUAGAUAGAAAGAUAGAAAGAUGGAUAGAUGGAUAGAUAGAAAGAUUGGUAGAUGGAUAGAUGGGUAGAUAGAUGGAUGGAUAGGUAGAAAGAUGGAUAGAUGGAUAGAAAGAUGGAUGGAUGGGUGGAUAGAUGGAUGGAUAGGUAGACAGAUGGAUAGAUAUAUGGAUAGGUAGAUAGAUGGAUGGAUAGGUAGACAGAUGGAUAGAUAUAUGGAUAGGUAGAUAGAUGGAUGGAUAGGUAGGUAGAUGGAUAGAUGGAUAGAAAGAUGGAUGGAUGGAUAGGUAGAUGGAUGGAUAGGUAGACAGAUGGAUAGAUAUAUGGAUAGGUAGAUAGAUGGAUGGAUAGGUAGGUAGGCAGAUAGAUAGUAAAGUCAGUAAAUAUACCUAUAUUAGGAGGAGUAUCUAAACAUUGUAAAAUAUACAGAAUACAUUAUAAUUCUCUAAUAUACCAAUCUACUGAUCAUAUAAACUACUCCGUUAUUAUAUAUUAAAAAUACUAGCAAACAUCUGUAGGCUAACCGCUCGUAUUGUAGAACAAGUACUGUAUCUGAGUUUUUGUUCUUUCUUACUUUCCAGCCCUUUGUGUUCAGAAACACUUCAUUGAUCACAUUUGGUGCCAAUAUGGUGUUUUCUCCCAGGCUAGAGUAGAGGUGAUGUUACUGCUCGUUAACAUACAGACGUUCUCGUUGUACGUCCGUGGCUUUGUGGGGAAAGGGCUGUGGUUGAAUCUGAACUGGGAGCAACCGACGCUUCUGAUCGGUUUCCCAGCAGACCGUCUCGGCCUGGAGCUUUUUGGUUGGACUUUGUGUCUUGUUUGAACUCUGAUUGCACUAAUCUGUUGAUGCCGAAAUAUGUUUGAACUCUAGGCGACUUGUUUGGGUCGAGGAAGUUAUUCUAGAGAUAUUUUGUGUCCUUUUUUUCUUUGUUUUUCUUCAGUUGUUGUUGUGAGAUCAUUAAGGUUUAUUUUUGUUGUGAAUAUUUUAGAUUUGUUGUGGAAUGAUGGUCUGUGUUUACAGCCUUGGGAUCACACAACUGUAGUUUCGGCCUUUAAGCAGGUUCAUCUGUAUCGCUGUGUUUCAGGUGUGGAACAUUAAGUUACGCUGCACUUUGAUUCGUCUAUUCACCUCAUUAAGCCCCGCCCCUUUUCCCACUUCCUGUUCAAAUGCUUAUCUCUUAGUUCUUCCUGUUAGCACUAGCAGCGUUGUAAGAACUUUGACAUUUUUUUUAAAAACACAGAAUUAAGAGAAACAUUGGAAUUUUCUGAUUUUCAGAAAAAGGGCCAGUUAUGAGAUUUUCAAAUAAAAAGGUAAAUGUUGUGAUGUAAAAAUGAAGUCAUGAAUUUUGAGAAAUUGAAAGUCAAAAUUUGAGGUAAAAAUGAUUGGAAACUAUUUAUAUUCUGUACAAACUGAAGUCCACUGAGACAAAUGUAACAUUUGUCUCAGUGGACUUUUUGUAACAUUUGUGAUAUUGGGCUAUAAAUAAAAAUGGAUUGAUUGAUAGAAGUCAGAAUUUUUGAAAAGUCUGAAUUUUGAGAAAUUAAAAAAAAAAAAUCUAUUUGAAGAAAAAGUCAAAACAAAUUUGAAAAGUCAGCAAUUUCACAUUUUUGGAAAAAAAUAAUUUUUUGCAGAAAAAAUGAAAAAAGUAAAUGUUU